rnacentral:rRNA from 1 species
GACGAACGCUGGCGGCGUGCUUAACACAUGCAAGUCGAACGGAAAGGCCCUGCGUUUGUGGGGUGCUCGAGUGGCGAACGGGGGAGUAACACGUGAGUAACCUGCCCUUGACUUUGGGAUAACUUCAGGAAACUGGGGCUAAUACCGGAUAGGAUCUCCUGCUGCAUGGUGGGGGUUGGAAAGUUUCGGCGGUUGGGGAUGGACUCGCGGGUUAUCAGCUUGUUGGUGGGGUAGGGGCUUACCAAGGCUUUGAAGGGUAGACCGCAUGAGAGGGUGGACGGCCUCCAGGGGACUGCGAUACGGAGCAGUAUGCUACGGGCGGCAGUAGUCGGGAAUAUUGCGGAGUAGGGGGAAGCCUGAUGCAGCGACGCCGGGUGCGGGAAGACGGCCUAUGGGUGGUAAACCGCUUUCGCCUGUGACGAGGCGUGAGUGACGGUAAUGGGUCAAGAAGCACCGGCUAACUACGUG